GGCGCGACAGGUGCUGCAUGGCUGUCGUCAGCUCGUGCUGUGAAGUGUUGGGUUAAGUCCCGCAACGAGCGCAACCCCUGCUGCCUGUUGCCACCACGAGAGGUGGGACCCAGGCGGGACCGCCGGUGACAAACCGGAGGAAGUGGGGACGACGUCAAGUCAUCAUGGCCCUUAUGUCCUGGGCUACACACGUGCUACAAUGGCCGGUACAGAGCGCAGCGAGGCCGCGAGGCGGAGCGAAUCGCUUAAAGCCGGUCCCAGUACGGAUUGGAGUCUGCAACCCGACUCCAUGAAGUUGGAAUCGCUAGUAAUCGCGCAUCAGCAUGGCGCGGUGAAUACGUUCCCGGGCCUU
rnacentral:rRNA from 1 species